AGUCUUCCUGCUAUGAUAUCAACCAAGAGACUUCCUUGAACAUUUCUGAAUAACUACAGACAAUUUUGCUGUCUUCACCUGGAAACAGCCUAACACUUGACUGGGUUCUGAAGGAUUGAGCAGUGACUUGACUGGAAUAUUCCAUUGCAUCACAUGGCUGUAUUUAAUAUCUAAGCUCUGCUGAAAAGUAAAUUUGCAAUGCUCCGCCUGCAUAGGAAAUGGCUGGAUACCACAAUCCUACUGCAAUCAACUGCAAUAGUUCUUCAACAGAUUUGGGUCCAACCCCAACUGAAUUAUGAAUGGAAAAAGCUGCUGAGAAACUGUAGCCAGCUCAGUGGAGAAGCAGAAGCAGACUGGGAGCAGCACACACCUGCUUUUCCUAGAGGCACCCACGUAAAGAAUAACUGAAAACAAUUUGCUGUUCUCCUGACCUGCCUCCUCAAGGGCUCCCAAGAUACAGGGACACCACCCAGAUCUCAUCAAGCUCAUUUGAAGAAAUCCUGAGCAGACGCAGAAGCAAAGAUAAUCUGCAAUACUAUCGCCAUCAGCUUGAACACCCACACACCACCAGGCAAGAUCUGUGAUUCCUGAUUGCCUCCUGUCCCUGAUAAGUUUCCUUUUCCCUCUGUAAACUGCUCCUGACUGUCAUCCCUUUUCUCCAAAGAGAGCCU
rnacentral:lncRNA from 1 species